AGGACGAACGCUGGCGGCGUGCUUAACACAUGCAAGUCGAGCGGAAAGGCCCUUCGGGGUACUCGAGCGGCGAACGGGUGAGUAACACGUGAGUAACCUGCCCCUAGCUCUGGGAUAGCUCCGGGAAACCGGGAUUAAUACCAGAUACGACCACUUUAGACAUCUGUCGUGGUGGAAAGGAUUCCGGCUAGGGAUGGGCUCGCGGCCUAUCAGCUUGUUGGUGGGUAACGGCCUACCAAGGCGACGACUGGUA
rnacentral:rRNA from 1 species